rnacentral:rRNA from 1 species
CAUUAUAGAGAGCUUUGGCUCCUUAUAUUCCAUUACCAUCAUGAUAUUCUAUUCUAUGUUGCUUCCAUCACUUCUAUAGUGGUGGGAGGUUGUCCCAUACUAUUCUUUUUGCUUAGGCUGUUUAUUUGUCUGAAUAUGAGGGUAAAUUUUACAAAACUUUCAACAACGGAUCUCUUGGCUCCUGCAUCGAUGAAGAACGCAGCGAAAUGCGAUAAUUAAUGUGAAUUGCAGAAUUCCGUGAAUCAUCGAGUCUUUGAACGCACAUUGCGCCUCAUGGCAUUCCGUGAGGCAUGCCCAUCUCAGCGUUAGUUAAUCAUAUCAAUUUUUGAUCUUGUAUCAAAAUUUGGAUCAUGUCAAGGAAGCUAUUUUAUCUUUUCUUUUCAAGUGGAUAGCUCUUUGAAAAUAUAUGGGUCUUCAAGUUGCUAUUAUUGGAACGUGAUGAAAAUUACUUCGUUCAAAUGUAGUUCACUUUUAUAGACUUGAAAUCUAUAUACCUUAGGUAUUUCUUGUUUUUAACCUGAGAUUGGGUAGGGAUACCCGCUGAACUUAAGCAUAUCAAUAA